GAAGAAGCUUAUUUUUGUGAAUCCCACGAUGUUAGAUAUUUGUAGUACUCUAGUUUUAUUAGUUUAUUUUUAAUUCUUCGCGUUAUCCUCAGUAAAAUAUUCGUUUUCCUCAUAUGCUUUAUUGCCACUAAUUUUUGGCGCACUUAUUAAUUAUUUCUAGGAUAUCUAUUAUGUCUACUAAAACUACCGGUUCUGUAAAAUGGUUCAACGAAGAUAAAGGUUUUGGCUUUAUCGAGCAAGAAUCUGGUCCUGACGUUUUCGCUCAUUUCAGCGCAAUCGUUAGCGAAGGCUUUAAAACAUUGGCUGAAGGCCAACGUGUAGAGUUUACCGUUACUCAAGGCCAAAAAGGCCCUCAAGCUGAAAACAUCGUUUGUAUCUAAACCUUGUUAAGCUGCGUAGUUA
rnacentral:sRNA from 1 species